UACGUAGGGUGCGAGCGUUAAUCGGAAUUACUGGGCGUAAAGCGUGCGCAGGCGGUUCGUUGUGUCGGCGGUGAAAGCCCCGGGCUCAACCUGGGAAUGGCCGUUGAAACUGGCGAACUGGAGUGUGGCAGAGGGGGGUGGAAUUCCGGCGUGUAGCAGUGAAAUGCGUAGAUAUGCGGAGGAACACCGAUGGCGAAGGCAAUCCCCUGGGCCUGCAC
rnacentral:rRNA from 1 species